rnacentral:rRNA from 1 species
GGCUUGGCAUAUGAGGCCUGGCUUUCGCGGCCGGCUGAAGUAUUUUUUUCACCCAUGUCUUUUGCGCACUUGUUGUUUCCUGGGCGGGUUCGCCCGCCACCAGGACCAAACCAUAAACCUUUUUUUCUUAUGCAGUUUCCAUCAGCGUCAGUAAAAACAAUGUAAUUAUUACAACUUUCAACAACGGAUCUCUUGGUUCUGGCAUCGAUGAAGAACGCAGCGAAAUGCGAUACGUAGUGUGAAUUGCAGAAUUCAGUGAAUCAUCGAAUCUUUGAACGCACAUUGCGCCCUUUGGUAUUCCAAAGGGCAUGCCUGUUCGAGCGUCAUUUGUACCUUCAAGCUUUGCUUGGUGUUGGGCGUUUUUUUGUCUCCCUCUUUCUGGGAGACUCGCCUUAAAACGAUUGGCAGCCGGCCUACUGGUUUCGGAGCGCAGCACAUUUUUUGCGCUUUGUAUCAGGAGAAAAGGACGGUACUCCAUCAAGACUCUACAUUUUUCACUUUUGACCUCGGAUCAGGUAGGGAUACCCGCUGAACUUAAGCAUAUCAAAAACCGGGAGGAA